rnacentral:tRNA from 1 species
GGAGAGUGGUCGUAUCGCCGCAGUUCACAGCCAUCCAGCUCAUGCACAAAGUGCAUGACCACCCUGGCAGUGUGGGGGUCAGGGGUUCGAGUCCCCUCAGCUCCA